GGCAUGCCUUACACAUGCAAGUCGAACGGCAGCGGGGGUAGCUUGCUACCUGCCGGCGAGUGGCGAACGGGUGAGUAAUACAUCGGAACGUGCCCUGUAGUGGGGGAUAACUAGUCGAAAGACUGGCUAAUACCGCAUACGACCUGAGGGUGAAAGUGGGGGCCGCAAGGCCUCAUGCUAUAGGAGCGGCCGAUGUCUGAUUAGCUAGUUGGUGGGGUAAAGGCCCACCAAGGCGACGAUCAGUAGCUGGUCUGAGAGGACGAUCAGCCACACUGGGACUGAGAGACGGCCCAGACUCCUACGGGAGGCAGCAGUGGGGAAUUUUGGACAAUGGGGGCAACCCUGAUCCAGCAAUGCCCGCGUGUGUGAAGAAGGCCUUCGGGUUGUAAAAGCACUUUUGUCCGGAAAGAAAUCGCUUCGGUAAUACCUGGAGUGGAUGACGGUACCGGAAGAAUAGGACCGC
rnacentral:rRNA from 1 species